rnacentral:lncRNA from 1 species
UAUGAAUGUAGAAGUUGAUGCCAGCAAUAAUGGUGACAUGGAUGAAUUUUAUGGUAUGAAAAUUAUCAUUUUUUUUACUGCAUCCACUGUGCUGACCAAUUGGUUGUAUAUUUUCAGACGCUACAAAUGGUGUAGCUGAAUUAAUGGGUAACAAAGAUCUGGAAAGUGAAGAAUCGCAGGGUAACCAUGGGCCUUGCCGCUACCUCAAAGACUAGUAAGCCCAAAAAUCCAACUCGAUUAGUUGAUGAAAAUCUGGAAAGUGAAGUGCAAGGACAUGGUACACGCUUUAACUUCUCUUGUUCUUCAUUUCCAAUAAUAUAAGAUCAGUGAUUUGUCUUGCCAUUUUAUUUCAAAAAUAAUAGACACUUGCCUAUUUUAGAACAGGGAGGGAAGGAAAACAAGCCACCAACUAUGGAUAAACUAUUUUAUCUCAGUUGAAUCCUGGUCUUUCAAAUGAUGAAGUCAUGCAAAAAUGUGAUACAUCUAAGUGGCAUGGUCACAUAGUUGGCUUUGGUGGUGGAAUUAGAGCAAGAGGUUUGCGAGGACGAGCAUUGAGUAAGGCUGAAUUGGUUUCUAAACUUCAAGCUUCUUAGAAAGCGAAACAAGUACUCGAAGAAAAGGUCAAUGCAUGGUGCAAGAAGUGUCAGAAAUCCAGUGUCUUCUGUCCUGUAGAUCUCUAAGUGAUGGUUCUCAUGAACGCCAAAAUGAUCAAGUAAGUUGUUCUCAUAGAUUGAUUUUAUAUGUUAUUAUACUUUGAGAGCAUUUAUUUACAUGGACCGACUUUCAUAAACUACUCAACAUUUUGUAGGACUGAUGGUCCACCGUAAUAUAUAGAAGCACAAGGAGGCAUUGUAAUCGCCGAUGAAGAUCAAACAACGAUGGUGUCCCUCGAUUGAAGAUUAAUAAAUAUUAUCAAUUAUCUUUUCUAGUUGUCUCGUUUUGUAGAUAGAUAUGAUAAAGUGCAUUGGUAAUAUAAGGAGUGCUUUUAACUCAAAUUUCGUACAUGAUAUUUUAACUUCAGAAUUGUAUGUGAGAAUAUUGGUAUUUCUAUUAAUAAAAGAUGCUAUGAUCCUUUCAAUUCAAA